rnacentral:rRNA from 1 species
UACGUAGGGUGCGAGCGUUAAUCGGAAUUACUGGGCGUAAAGCGUGCGCAGGCGGUUAUUUAAGUCAGGUGUGAAAGCCCUGGGCUUUACCUAGGAAUUGCGCUUGAGACUGGAUAGCUUGGAGUGCGGCAGAGGGAGGUGGAAUUCCACGUGUAGCAGUGAAAUGCGUAGAGAUGUGGAGGAACACCGAUGGCGAAGGCAGCCUCCUGGGCCAGCACUGACGCUCAUGCACGAAAGCGUGGGGAGCAAACAGG